rfam:Bacillus galactosidilyticus strain PL133 scaffold000131, whole genome shotgun sequence.
UUAAGAACGUUGAAGAGGAAAAGUAAAAGAACGAAGCUGAUCAGAGAAAACCACCAUUGGCUGAGAGUGGUUGCGGCCUCUCGUUUUUUGAAAAUGCCCCUCUGAGUCUUAUGCUGAACAGAGUAUUCUCACUAGGCAUAAGCGGUCCACUUGUCGUUAUCAAGAUUAAGCCGGGAUGUAAGGAUCUUUACAUCUAAGCAGAGUGGAACCGCGCCAAGGCGUCUCUGAU